AGAUUUAAAUAAUAAUAGAUAAACAUAUUUUUCGUACCUUUCUGAGAAGGCACAUAAUUAUAAUAUAGUAAAUAUAUAAGAAAGUAUGUCAUGAGAUGAUAAACUUUGAUCGAAGAUAAAAAUUGCAAUAAUAAUUAAAAUAGGUAAUUGCAUUAACUAAAAUACAAAUUUAAAUAACCUUUUGAUCUUAUAAUUUUUAUCAUAAUUAAAUUAGAUCAUUUCAUUGUUUAAAAAAGUAUAUAAACCGCUGUUAAUGGGCUUAUAAUGGUCAUAUUACUCCGGUGAGUUUCUGCCCGAACAGUAUCGUUAAAUCGGCCCUUCAGUCGUGAAAUUGUACUUUUAAAUAAGCGUUAAUAAAAAGAAUCUUGUUUCUUAUAAUUUAUAUAAGAUCGAAGAUACAGUGUCGAGAAAUAACUCUUAAAUAGUAUUAAAUAGUCGUUGGUGCAUUAGUGCUAAAUAACGAACUUAAUUAUUGUCAUCCUGCGAUACAAUUGUGUAAAGCCGGUUGCAUUCAUUGUAACAAUCCAGAAUCAACUUCAACAUUAUAUGUACCAGUGCUUGUUAUGGUUCGUCAAGUAACGCACACGCAGUUACGGUAAUAGAAGAAUCCAUUCGACCAUGCAACUUGAUGAUCGGAACUGACAAAAAGCGCUUUGCAUUUUUCUCACGAUCCAUCCAAUCUGUCAUGAAAUAUUACUGUUGCUAUUUUUGGCUCAUAUGUUAGUUUUCAUUUAUGACGACGCUUUCUAUAUUUAAUUAAACUCCGAACAUUGUAAUGAUUGAAUCAUACAUUGAUGAAACGUCUACUUGAAAUUUGUCGCGGAUUGAAAAAAAACUAUGCGACAAAAAUUCGUCGCACAUUGAUAGUAAGUGGAAAUAAUGUUGAAAAUGAAUUGAAAUUGAAUGAAAAUUACAGUUAGUACUUGUGCUAAAAUUCAUUUACUUUAAUUAUAAUAAUUGCAACUUAAAUUAACAUAAAAAAUCAGUCAUUGAAUAGUACAAUUAUUAAAUUCAACGGUAAUUUUCAAUUUCAAUUUAUUAUUCACAUUAUUUCCACGGACUUUGAAUGUGCAACGAAAUCGUUGCACAUUCAUUGUUUCCGAAUUGUCAGGGUUAAAUCGAAUUGGAAUUUGUUUUUUUUUAUCUCAUUUUGUACUUUCGACUGUAAUCUUCCUCAAAAAAUGUAUAAAUUUAUACAAAAGAUAUAAUUAAAUGAAAAUGUUAACAAGUGUUUAAUUAUUA